rnacentral:rRNA from 1 species
UACGGAGGAUGCAAGCGUUAUUCGGAAUGAUUGGGCGUAAAGCGUCCGCAGGUGGUUGUGUGUGUCUAUAGUCAAAGCAUCAUGCUUAACAUGAUAAAGGCAGUAGAACCUACACGACUAGAGUGCGUUCGGGGCAGAGGGAAUUCCUGGUGUAGCGGUGAAAUGCGUAGAGAUCAGGAAGAACACCGGUGGCGAAAGCGCUCUGCUAGGCCGCAACUGACACUGAGGGACGAAAGCUAGGGGAGCGAAUGGG